rnacentral:rRNA from 1 species
AUUGAACGCUGGCGGCAGGCCUAACACAUGCAAGUCGAGCGGAGCGCCGGACGCGUGCGUAAUGCCUAUGAAUCUGCCUGGUUCUGGGGGAUAAAGUCCGGAACCGGGCACUACUGCCGCUCCAUCUCACAUGAGGCUGGGUCGGAUUAGCUAGUUGGUGGGGUAAAGGCAUACCAAGGCGACGAUCCGUAACUGGUCUGAGAGGAUGAUCAGUCACACUGGAACUGAGACACGGUCCAGACUCCUACGGGAGGCAGCAGUGGGGAAUAUUGGACAAUGGGCGAAAGCCUGAUCCAGCCAUGCCGCGUGUGUGAAGAAGGUCUUCGGAUUGUAAAGCACUUUAAGUUGGGAGGCGUUACCAACAGAAGAAGCACCGGCUAACUUCGUGCCAGCAGCCGCGGUAAUAC